GGUUGUGUGGCUCAGUGGUUAUGCUGCACUCUUGCAUUGUGCCCCCAGUGGUCGCCGGUUCGACUCAGGCAGAAGUCA